rnacentral:rRNA from 1 species
CCUACGGGAGGCAGCAGUGGGGGAUAUUGCACAAUGGGGGAAACCCUGAUGCAGCGACGCCGCGUGAGUGAAGAAGUAAUUCGUUACGUAAAGCUCUAUCAGCAGGGAAGAAACACUGACCUUACGGUCAGCAGACGGUACCUGAGUAAGAAACCCCGGCUAACUACGGUCCAACAGGCGCGGUAAUACGUAGGGGGCAAGCGUUAUCCGGAUUUACUGGGUGUAAAGGGAGCGUAGACGGUGCGACAAGUAUGGAGUGAAAUGCCGCAGCUUAACUUGGGAACUGCUUUGGAAACUGGCGAACUAGAGUGCGGGAGGGGUAAGCGGAAUUCCUAGUGUAGCGGUGAAAUGCGUAGAUAUUAGGCGGAACACCGGUGGCGAAGGCGGCUUACUGGACCGUAACUGACGUUGAGGCUCGAAAGCGUGGGGAGCAAACAGGAUUAGAUACCCCGGUAGUC